UCGAGAAUUUUUGACAAUGGGGGAAACCCUGAUCGAGCGACGCCGCGUGGAGGAUGAAGGUCUUCGGAUUGUAAACUCCUGUCAUUGGGGAACAAGUCGCUUACGUUAACUGCGUGAGCGUUGAUAGUACCCGAAGAGGAAGAGACGGCUAACUCUGUGCCAGCAGCCGCGGUAAUACAGAGGUCUCAAGCGUUGUUCGGAUUCAUUGGGCGUAAAGGGUGCGUAGGCGGCGCGGUAAGUCGGGUGUGAAAUCUCGGAGCUUAACUCCGAAACUGCAUUCGAUACUGCCGUGCUUGAGGACUGGAGAGGAGACUGGAAUUUACGGUGUAGCGGUGAAAUGCGUAGAUAUCGUAAGGAAGACCAGUGGCGAAGGCGGGUCUCUGGACAGUUCCUGACGCUGAGGCACGAAGGUCAGGGGAGCAAACGG
rnacentral:rRNA from 1 species